CAGCAUCCAUUGAUAGACCAUGAGCCCACUUAGUUGCUUUUUGGUUUGCACAGAGAUGCAAUAGAAACUUUCCUUGCGCUUUCUGCCUUGUCUGAUUCUUUGACUUGUCGGUUUGAAUAGAGGAAUACAUGC